CUUUUUCUCNCUGGCAGUGCUAACACGACUGCAAGUUUAACGUGUAGCACAGACGAGCUUGCUCUCGGUGACGAGUGGCGGACGGGUGAGUAAUGUCUGGGAAACUGCCCGAUGGAGGGGGAUAACUACUGGAAACGGUAGCUAAUACCGCAUAACGUCGCAAGACCAACAGANGGGGACCUUCGUGGCCUCUUGCCAUCGGAUGUGCCCAGAUGGGAUUAGCUUGUAGAGUGAGUGUAACGGCUCAACCUANGCGACAGAUCCCUAGACUUGGUCUGAGAGGAUGACCAGCACACACUGGAACUGAGAACACGGUCCAGACUCCUACGGGAGUGCAGCAGUGGGGAAUAUUGCACAAUGGGCUGCAAGCCUGAUGCAGACCAUGCCGACAGNUGUAUGAAGAAGGACCUUCNNGNGUUGUAAAGUACUUUACAGNCNGUNGGAGGAAGGGAGUGAGGGUUAAGUAAACACGUUAUUUCAUUGAGCAGUUUACACCGCAGAGGAAAGGAAGGAACCAGGGCAGUAACAUCCAGGUGACAUAGCAAGCCGACNGGUAAUUACAAGAANGGGUGCNCAAAAGACGGUUUAAAUCNGGNAAUUACUGGGCGUUAAAAAGACGGCAACCGGCAAAGUGCAGNGGGAUCAUUNGUUCCAAAAAGAAUCAAGUGAGGACAUUUGGUUUUGUAAAAAAUUUUCACUCCCAUUGGGGGAUGCGUUNCAAUACCUUGUNNGGAAAANACUUGGAGANAUUAUUCCGUAAAAAAAUUUNGGGUAUCGAUGAGUUGGAGAAGNCAUUUAGGUUACAAAAAGGAAGGGGAGGNGAUNNAAGAAAAUUUUACAAAGCGAUAUAGUAUAAGAGCCGGNGUUAGAGAUACAAUAUUGAUGNUAUUAGUAA
rnacentral:rRNA from 1 species